CAAGGGCAGCGCGGUUGGUUUAGCGGUAGCGUCAGCCGAGAGCUGAGGCAGUUCUGGGGUAGGAAGAUGGGUGCAGGAGGUGCUUGAGGCGGGGAGAGGAGCACCUCUCCUCCUGAUGCCUCGGUCCUAGCGUGCCUGCUGGGCUUAUCCUGUGCUUUUGUCUCCACAGUGGCCGAAGGGGGGACAGUCAGCGACUCGCGGGCGGCAGACUUCUUGUUCAGCUGUGACGCCUCGCACCCAGACACCCUGAGGUACCUGAGAGCCGCCUGGAAGUGCCUCUUGUCACGACGAGCCCAGAGUCAGGGAUGGAGGUUGCAGCCCGCUAAUAAAUAUAUAUGAUAGAGGGAGACUGGAAACAGUUUUAGAUGUAACUGUUUUUCAUCCUCAAGGCCCUUGUCCAUUUGACUGGACCGGACCGUCACAAUAGCUUUCUAAGAGCUUCCGUUGCUUGGAAUCUGUCCUCCAAAAUCUCCUUUCGCGUUGCUCCCACAUUAUGUUUGUAAAGCAGAGAUCUGCUCACGGGCCUCCCCACUUUUAUUCCCCUUCUCCCUUCCUGAUUACCUACAGAUUUAGAUUUUUGGCUAGAGCCCACUUUGUUUAUUUCCCAGUUUCUCCCUCAUUCCUUCCAUAAGACCAGUCUAAGGUGUCACUGUGCCUUCGUGUUUGUCAUUCUUUUUUCUCUAAUGCCCUUCCUCUUCUUUCCACCUUUUUACAGAUCUAGGAAGGAUGUUGCUUUCUAUAUGUGAAGGCUUCCCUGACUGCCUGCCCAUACCCUACCUCGGAAUUAACUAAGUUCUUUACAGCAAAGACUAUGGGUAAAAUUUGCAGGCUGCUGGCUCUCAAUCCACUGUUUUUUGUCCCGUUAAACAGCAUCAUCUGAGGUCAAGUUUCUAAAUUUAUAUAAUAAUUGAUGACUUCUCUAAAACUGAGAUUUGUCUAGAUGUAGGCCCCCAAAUAAGCAAUAUGCCAUGUUUUUCUUCUUUGUCAGGAGGAAAAAAAAAAUAAUAUAUGAAAGCCUUGAUUACAUAGAAGAUAAUGCUACAGUUUUUCAUGCCUACUAUCUCUCUGCAGUAGCCAAUGCUGAAAUUAAAAACUCGGUGGCUUUAGGUCAUUUCAUUCUUCCUCCUUCAUGUCUACAAAAAGGUUAGCAAAGAUCCUUCAACCAAUCUCUGUUAGCCAAAUCCAGCUAAUUCCUGCUAGACAGCCAAAUUCAACUUACCUUUGUUCUCAGAUAUUUUUGUUUCGUAUCACAUAAUAUAAAUGGAAAAACCAUGGACUUCAGAUGAGAUUGCCAUGAGUAUCUAUCCUGGCUUCAUUUAUCAUUCAUACAUUCACUGAGCAUCUCCUAUAUGCCAGGUUCCAAUGCAGAAACAGGGAUUCUGUGGUGAAUAAGGCAGAUACAGAUCUUGUUCUCAAAUGCUCAUUGACUAGAAUCCAACGCUUAUUAGUUUUGGGAUCCUUGACAAGUUAUUAAAUUUUUCACAAGUUGUUUUGAAGAUAAAAUGAGAUAAUUUAUUAAGGUAUAUGAUGUGGUGAGCAUUUAAUAUUGUCUUCUUUGCUAGUUUUGAAUCUUUUCAUUAUGUUUCUGAAUUUUUAAAAGAUUCGUUAUGAA